rnacentral:rRNA from 1 species
UUCCUACGGGAGGCAGCAGUGAGGAAUAUUGGUCAAUGGGCGCGAGCCUGAACCAGCCAAGUCGCGUGAGGGAAGACGGUCCUAUGGAUUGUAAACCUCUUUUGUCGGGGAGCAAAAGACGCCACGCGUGGCGUUCCGAGAGUACCCGAAGAAAAAGCAUCGGCUAACUCCGUGCCAGCAGCCGCGGUAAUACGGAGGAUGCGAGCGUUAUCCGGAUUUAUUGGGUUUAAAGGGUGCGUAGGCGGGAUGCGAAGUCAGCGGGAAAAAGGCGGUGCUCAACGCCG